ACUUGUAACGCCUCUGGUGUUUCAAGUGUCCAUGGGCGGCGGCGAUUGUUUACCAUCAGGUGAUACGUCAAAACAUAAUUUUAGACCAAUUUGUUGGUCGAGUGGUAACAACUAUCACAGCUUAACGAGGUCCUAAUUUCGAUUCCCGGGCUGUGAAACUGAGUUUUUCAUUGUCGAAACGCUCAGUAAUAGCUCGGAGUCUGUAGUUUUUAGUGUUCUGGGAAUAUUCACCCCCCUAUUACAUGGGACUCAUAACGUAAGUGGUGAAAAGUGGGUGUUGUUGAAGGCACCUCUGCCUAUCCCUUCAGGGUAUUUGUCUCCAUUUUAUAAUAAGUAUAUGACUGCCUCGUUGUUCGAGUGGACAAGAGGUCUCGGGUUCGAUUCCCAGAUCGGGCAGAGUAUUACUGGGCUUUUUUCGGUUUUUCGAAAAUUUCUCAGUAGUAGCACGGAGUCUGGAAUUGUGCCCGGUAAAUGGCAAUAGGCUCACCCCCUAUUACAUGGGACUUAUAACACAAAUGGUGAAAAGUGUGUGUACAUUGUAUAGCGGCAUUACCUGCCGUAAUGUGCACCUCUGCCUACCCCUUCGGGGAUAAAAGGCGUGACGUUGUGUGUUUAUAAUAAGUAGUUUUUCGAAAUGAUUCUAAUAAUUAUGUUUGUAGAUUAUUAAUAUUAAAUGUAUUAUUUUUUUUUGUAAUCAAAUGUUACAUACAGAAAAAAAAGAAUGAAUGAAAAAACCAAAUAAAUUUUAUGAUUUUUUUAAAAAA